CGGCGAACUCCGGUCAGCUGACACGUCCCGGCCAGUCUCCAGCAGACCCUCCCUCCCAGACCCUCCUACUUCCUGGACAGCAUCCACAUGGUGUCCAGGAAGUAGGAGGGUCUGGGAGGGAGGGUCUGCUGGAGACUGGCCGGGACGUGUCAGCUGACCGG